rnacentral:rRNA from 1 species
UACGGAGGGUGCGAGCGUUAAUCGGAAUUACUGGGCGUAAAGCGCACGUAGGCGGUUUGUUAAGCAAGAUGUGAAAGCCCAGGGCUCAACCUUGGAAUUGCAUUUUGAACUGGCAAGCUAGAGUUUUGAAGAGGGUGGUAGAAUUUCCAGUGUAGCGGUGAAAUGCGUAGAUAUUGGAAGGAAUACCAGUGGCGAAGGCGGCCACCUGGUCAAAAACUGACGCUGAGGAGCGAAAGCGUGGGGAGCAAACAGG